rnacentral:lncRNA from 1 species
GACUGCAGAGGCUCCACUCGGGCCCCGACUGGCUGUGCCCCUUUCCAUGGGUCUCACAAUAUUCGGAGUAGCCUCAUUUGACCCUUCAGUUUUUACUUUCUUCUGGAUAAAUGACCAGUGUCCAAGCUUCCGCUAAUAUGCAUAGGAGGAGACCACCCUGGCUUCAACUCCAAACAAAAUGUAAACCAGGCAGGUUGUCUGUUCUCUCUUGAAAGCCUUUGUAGCUUUCUAACAUACUGAGGAUUAAAUCCAAGGGCCCAAAAGAUUCUACCCAACCUGACCCCUGAGCUUUUGGGUUUUUGGAAGCAGUGGCCAUAUUAGAAGUUGGACGGUCUUGCUUGGGGCUACACUGAGAGAGAGAGAGAGAGAGAGGCCCUGAGACUG